CGGCCUGAGGUCGGACGAGGCUACCCGCUGAAUUUAAGCAUAUUACUAAGCGGAGGAAAAGAAACUAACGAGGAUUCCCUCAGUAACGGCGAGUGAAGCGGGACGAGCCCAGCGCCGAAUCCGGCCGCUUAUGGAGCGGACGGAAUUGUGGCGUAUGGAAGCAGCAUUAAAAAACUUGUCACCAAUGACCUGUUCUUGUAAUCCCCAAACCAAAGGCGAGCACAAGAUAUUCUAACAAUAACCAGGUAUUGUUAAAGGGGUUACCGGUUUCCCACUCACGAGGACAAAAACAAUUGUCCAUGUACUGGAGAAAUGAGAAUUUAGGUAAUUUUGAAGUCGCUUAUCCCUGCUCGGCUGUGCAGUGCAAUGAGCUUGUUAUAUUGUUUUGCGCUUCGUUACUCUUCGAUCUGACUGUUAUGAUCUCAGCUGCUUACGACACCAGCUGUUUUAACCCGGAAUUCCUAUUAAAACGUCCGCAAAUAGCACGCGCUUAGAGCGCACGGGAGAAUCUUUCGUUAAUUAACAUUUUAUAUUGUUUAUGCGUAUUUACACCAUAUUUAAUAUUGCUAGAGUUCCGAAUCCUUUUCUCGUUACUU
rnacentral:ncRNA from 1 species